CAAUAGCGUAUAUUUAAGUUGUUGCAGUUAAAAAGCUCGUAGUUGGAUUUCGGGUGGGACGCAGCGGUCUCGCAUUGCGUUUGUACUGCUGCAGCCCUCCUUCUUGCCGGGGGCGGCCUCUCGGACUUCACUGUCUGGGGGUCAGAAUCGGCGAUGUUACUUUGAGUAAAUUAGAGUGUUCAAAGCAAGCUUACGCUCUGAAUAUAAUAGCAUGGGAUAACACGACAGGACUCUGGCCUUUCGUGUUGGUCUAUAGGACCAGAGUAAUGAUUAAGAGGGACAGUCGGGGGCAUUCGUAUUCCGUUGUCAGAGGUGAAAUUCUUGGAUUUACGGAAGACGAACAUCUGCGAAAGCAUUUGCCAAGGAUGUUUUCAUUGA
rnacentral:rRNA from 1 species